GAUUGGCCGAGCCGUUGAGCGGCUGAGAUCAAAUACUCGGCAAGCUCGCGCGCGCUAGAAAGCUAGCCAACUGAAAGAACGGCUGUAGAAGCGCGCUGGUUCCCGCACAGUUCCACGCUUGCAAAUCGCCGUUUGUGCAUUCUGCAGUUUGUACUGUUCUCCCGGACAGUCACGGCGUGCCUGUGUGGGUGUAGCUGCGGUAGUUGUGGACUGCAGAAAUGAAGCCUGCCAGGGGGAAAACGCCGAAAAAGAAGGGUCCCUCCAGGCCGGCAUCCACUGAAGCGCAAGACCCGGUUGAAGUGUACUGCCGCAUCCGACCGUUGCACAAUCCCACCGACGUCCCUGUCGUGCGCGUCAUUGACAACAAAAUUGUCCAGCUUGAACCCCAGGAAACCAAUGGGCAGUCAAGGAAUAUACAGAAGCAGGUGUCACAAUCGAGAAGAUUGCUAGUUCAAUACCGGUACACAUUCAAGUGUGUGUUCGACACCGAUGCAUCGCAGCAAGAGUUAUUCGAGCACGUUGGCCUGCCCUUGGUCAGCGAUCUUCUACACGGGAAGCCCGGGCUUCUCUUCACCUAUGGAAUAACAUCGUCCGGCAAGACCUACACCAUGACAGGGCACCCGCAGGACGGAGGCAUCUUGCCACGAUGCUUGGACGUGGUGUUCAACUCCAUUGGGGAAUAUCAAGCUCGGAAAUAUGUGUUCAAACCAGACAAGCUCAAUGGCUAUGACACGCAGACAAUGGCUGAGGCAAUGGCCGAGUACCAACAGGACAUCAUGCCUCACACGCCAAAGCCGCCGAAAAUAAGGAGGAGGGACGAUGACGGAGUGGACUGGACAAGUCGCACGCACGAGACUGCCAAAGUUGACGACGUCGACGCUGACAUGGCAUAUGCAGUGUUUGUCUCGUACAUUGAGAUAUACAACAAUUACGUGUACGACCUCCUGGAGGACAAUCCGAUAGAUCCUGUGAAGACAAAACAGCUGCAGUCAAAGAUGUUACGUGAGGACUCCAAGCGCUGCGUCUAUGCCUUCGGCGUGACGGAGGUCGAAGUGAAGAGCGCAGACGAGGCAUUCGACGCCUGGUGUCGGGGACAGAAGCGCAAGCGCAUCGCUCACACCGCCCUCAACGCGGAGUCCAGCAGGAGCCACAGCAUCUUCAACAUCCGGCUCGUUCAAGCGCCACUCGAUGCUCAGGGCCUGGACAUCUUGCAGGACAAGAAUGCGCUGAUCAUCAGUCAGCUUUCGCUCGUGGACCUUGCCGGCAGUGAGCGCACAGACAGAACCGGCAACACUGGCCACCGGUUGAGGGAAGCAGGAAACAUCAACAAUUCUCUCAUGGUCCUGCGCACGUGCAUUGAAAUUCUGAGGGAAAACCAGACAACUGGGUCAAAUAAGAUGGUGCCCUACAGAGAUGCAAAGAUCACCCAUCUCUUCAAGAACUUCUUUGAUGGUGAAGGCAAAGUGCGGAUGAUUGUCUGCCUGAACCCGCGGCCAGACGACUAUGAUGAGACCUUUCACGUGAUGAAAUUUGCGGAGAUGGCUCAGGAGGUCCUGGUCCCGUGCUCCACACCGACAACGCCCGCCGCAACGCUCAAUCUGCGUACCGGUCGCAGACGGCCCAUCUUGCCGCGUACGGCAAAGUUCGGCGGCAGCCUGAAAGAGCUUUCCACAAUGCCACCUCCAGAAACGCCAAGGGAGGUGAUCCGCAUGCCCGAGCUGCAGAACUACUUGCUUACGGAUCCCUCUGAUGGUGAAGUUCUGCGGCGAAUGGAGGAGUGGCUGUCCCAGACGAUCAUGCUCAGGAAAGAAACCAAAGCAAGCGACAUGGCCCUGGUUGAUGACCUCAGGAGGCAGAUCAUACAGAUGGAAGCUGAGAACGGGGUGUUGAAAGAGGAGCACAAGGUUCUGAGGAUGGACCUCAAGGCUCGGGAGCAGCAGGUGAUUCUGCUCGAGAAGAAACUGUCCAACGCGGAGCAGUCCGUCCAAGCCCUCAACCUGGAGCUGGAAGGCAUGUUUCGCCAGAAAAAGACUGUGGAGAACAUGCUGGAUGAGAAGCAGAUGCAGCUGAACAAGGAGGCCAUGGAGAAAGUCCAGAUGCAUCACCGGAUGCAGGAGCAGAUCCAGCUAGAGCGGGAGAGGAUGAAGCGAGCCAUGAACCAGCUGCUUGCCGACAAGCAGGCCGAGCUGGAGGCCAAGCUGAGCGUGAACCACGAGAAGUUCCGCAUCCUGCGUGAAGUGCUCAACGGGGCAGACUGGGACGCGCCCGAGCCGUCUGCACCUCCCGCACCUGCGGAGAGUGGCGUGACGACCCGCUCUGCUGCUGCCAGCUGCGCAACAGGUGGACGCGAAAUGCACCCGCGGCCUCAUCCAGCAAGAAAGGAGAGACAGCCUCAACGCCGUCACUAUCGAGAAAUGGCUGCCUGCAUGCUUGGGCAGUGCGGAGUAUCGGCAACCGGAAUGUCAUCAUCAACUUCCGAGCCCAGGCUUUGUGGCACGCCAAAGACCACCAUGCCUCCGGUGAUGCGCCACAGGCGGUCCAGAUCUUCUGGUGCCGAGAUGUGGGUGGACCACAAGCCGACCGGUACUGUCGACACCGGCUCGGUGAUGCAGCCGGUGAUGAAGAAGAAGAAGUCGGUGGGCAAGCUGGGUGUGAAGGAUGUCACCAAGGGGGCGUCCAAGUACGCACUCUUGCACCAGGAACAGGACGCAGGUGGUGACGUGGAAGAACAGCUCUACAAGGGAGAUGUCAUCCCUUCCAUGACCGGCGGGGCCCAAGUGGUCUUCAGCGAGGUGGAGACAGUGAAGCAUUUGUCGCCAACUUCAAGUCAGCUCAGGUGUAAUCAGUCAGAAGAAACGAAGCAGUGGACGGGCAGCGCGUGAUGAUGACGAGGACUACGUGUCGGCUCGUUGCUCAGUGUCAGUUGAAGGUCACGCACAUCCUUCUGUGAUAAAACGAUCAAGAGUGUGAAUACUUUGGACCUGCUGCAUCAACCUGUGCCAAUCUCACUGCUGUAUAUAACUGCAAGAACAAGUGUAUCUUAGCGAUUCGCAAAUAUUUUUAUGCUUCAAAUAAAGCGUUUUUAGGACAAAA